rnacentral:snRNA from 1 species
UGAGGAAUAAUCUGAUUUCGCU